rnacentral:lncRNA from 11 species
AGGUGUGAAUUUUGCAAUUGGCCACCUUGAUUAGCACUGAAGAGCACUGAAGGUCUGGCUGAUUCCUGCCUGGGGGAAAUCCUUUGUUUGGAGGUGUUACCUGGCCCUGAUUGUUUCCUGCCUGGAAUUCCCAUUUUCAGAGUGUUGUUCUUUAUUUACUGUCCUGAUUUUAGAGUUUUUUAAAUACUAGUAGUCAGUUUUUCUUCAUUUUCGUGGUUUCCUCCUUUCUGUUGAAAUUGUUCACAUGCUUGUGGAUUUCAGGAUAGAAGAGAGAAAACAGCAAAGCCUGUUUGGACAUGCAUAGGAUUAUAGAGAGGUGUCCCUCAGUCUAUCUAUCCACUACCCAUCUAAUAAAUGAGACUUGUGUAGUCCAGGAUGACUCCCAACAGCUUCCUUCAUCUCCACCUCCAGCCCUAGACCUCCUCAAUCCCUCCCUCCCAGCCAUGGAUUCUCCCAGUCAAACGUUGAUGUGUCUCACCCUGCUGGGUCUAGGCGGAUAUAUUGGGCAGUCCUAUGGGAUUUCUUUAAAUGGGACCCCAGAAGAGUUUUAAAGGCGGGAGAACUGAAGGCGGCAGGAUUAUGUGUAUUUGCAUGUUGUUGGGGAAUUUGAGCUGUUAGACUCAAAAAUAACCCUCAGUUAGUGGAAUUCCACAAAAAUAUAGGUGAGUACCAGCAGUAAAAUCCAUAAACAGCAGAACAGUGAAAUAAAAUAGUAAAAUCACAGAAAUAAUAAUGACAGCAACCAUAACAGACCAACUGAAACAAUUCACAAUGCGACUGCCAUGAAGAAAAUACAUAAAUUAAUGUAUUUUAAGCCACUAUACAUGGCUUAAAAGCUACAAUUAAUACAAUUAGGGGGACAGGACAAGAGGAAAUGUGUAAAAGCCUAGUUUAAAAUAAAUAUAAAAAUGCUUCCCUAGUUGGUAAUUUCUCUGGGGGUUCAAGUGAGGAAUUACAUACUAAACUCCCCUUCAAGAUCCAUGCAAUUAGAACUUACUGUUUUGAAAAUAAUUCCUUUCCACCCCUCCUUAGUACACAUUAUUCUGGUGGUUCCUAUCUCAAACUGAGAAACCCUCCAGUUUCGAAAGCAAUUUGUUAACGAGGAAAAAUAACUUAGAAUAAAGGCUGGAUUUGUGAGGUUUUGCUUCUUCAUGGUAAUUAUUAUUAUCCUAACUGUGAAUGGCAGGGGGUUGGACUGGAUGCCUCUUACAGCCUGUCCCAACUCUAUGGCGCUAUGAUCUCUCCCAAAAACAAGGCAUUUGCAAAACCCAAUUAAAAUCGUAGUGGUUAUUACUAUUAUUACGAUUAUUAGUGGUGAUCCUGGCUUUCUUCUGGAUUCAUUUGCCCUUGAGUGUAGUCUUUUUCCCCCUGAUUUCAGUCAGAUAAAAACCAAAACCUAAAUCCAUCUGGUAGUCCUGCCUAGAAGUGGGCCCUAGAAUCAAUUACCAAAAAAGUCGUCAGCACUUAUGCAAUACCAAUCAUUCAAUGAUUCUACUUUUAGUUGAGUUGUUCUUUUUGUUCUUGCUGUGUACCUUCAAGCCAAGUUCCCCAUUUAUCGCAACCCUAAGCAAACCUGUCAUGAGGUUUGCUUGGCAAACUUUAUCCAGAAGCUCGUUGCCUUUGUUUUCUUCUGAGACUGAGGCCCCU